rnacentral:lncRNA from 1 species
GCGAUGGAGGUAAGAAGAGUAUCAUAGGCAAUUUAAUCCUCGCCAGGAGGACCACUUCGGACCUAAAACGUGAGUACUGCCACAGUUUGUUGGGUCAGAAAUCGUUUGGCUCAUGGGAACAAUCUUAAAAACAAACCCAAGAGUGGAAGACCCACCAAAGUGAAUCCUGAAGACAACAUGGAGGCUUUAAAAGUCAGCCUAAUGAUGAAGAUGCAGAGUACGACAAGAAGAGGAAGGUACAUCGGUCUACUAUGGGCAAGCCCAUCCGCAAGGCCGGAGGAAGGUCGCUUAGAAGUUUCUAAUGUUAAUUCAGUUGAAGGGAGAAAAUGACGUCAUUUUGACGUUUUGAUGAUACUAUGCGGUGUUUUUAUACGAUAUUAGAUAAAAACGUAAUACAUGUUUUUGUGGGGAUUUAGGAGCUCUACCACAUUUAAGUCCUGUCUGGUCCCUUCUUAAAACUUCAGAACACGUCAGAAUUAAUCGCAAAAGCAGCCUCAAAGAACAAUAAUUGCUAAAUGAUGUCAUCAUAGAAUUACAUCACAGAUUAAAAUGAGUCAUAUCAAAAUUGAGCUAGGAUUAUAUAUUUGUUCUUCAACAAAUAUUAAAAGUAUUGUGAUUAAUCCUUUGACUAGUUUACUUUAAUAUUAGUAAAAAAGUUUGCCUUGUAGAAAGUUCUAAAAUAUUUGAAUUGGUUUUCAAUGACAGAUAGUAGAGGCACAACUGGACGGAUGCAACUCUAGUAUUUGUGAAUAAAUGACAUGGUUCUAAUAACGAGGGGCUUUAUUUUUGAAUCAAUAUACAUACAACCAUAAGUAGCAUUAAUAAAUAAAUGUGCAUUGUGCACUCUUUUACAGA